GACGAACGCUGGCGGCGUGCCUAAUACAUGCAAGUAGAACGCACAGUUUAUACCGUAGCUUGCUACACCAUAAACUGUGAGUUGCGAACGGGUGAGUAACGCGUAGGUAACCUGCCUGGUAGCGGGGGAUAACUAUUGGAAACGAUAGCUAAUACCGCAUAAUAUUUAUUAUUGCAUGAUAAUUGAUUGAAAGAUGCUAUUGCAUCACUACCAGAUGGACCUGCGUUGUAUUAGCUAGUAGGUGAGGUAACGGCUCACCUAGGCGACGAUACAUAGCCGAACUGAGAGGGUGAUCGGCCACACUGGGACUGAGACACGGCCCAGACGCCUACGGGAGGCAGCAGUAGGGAAUCUUCGGCAAGGGACGAAAGUCUGACCGAGCAACGCCGCGGGAGUGAAGAAGGGUUUCGGAUCGUAAAGCUCUGUUGUAAGAGAAGAACGGGUGUGAGAGUGGAAAGUUCACACUGUGACGGUAGCUUACCAGAAAGGGACGGCUAACUACGUG
rnacentral:rRNA from 1 species